rnacentral:rRNA from 1 species
CCUACGGGUGGCAGCAGUGAGGAAUAUUGGUCAAUGGGCGCGAGCCUGAACCAGCCAAGUAGCGUGAAGGAUGACUGCCCUAUGGGUUGUAAACUUCUUUUAUAUGGGAAUAAAACGUUCCACGUGUGGGUUUUUGUAUUUACCAUAUGAAUAAGGAACGGCUAACUCCGUGCCAGCAGCCGCGGUAAUACGGAGGAUCCGAGCGUUAUCCGGAUUUAUUGGGUUUAAAGGGAGAGGAGGUGGAUUGUUAAGUCAGUUGUGAAAGUUUGCGGCUCAACCGUAGAAUUGCAGUUGAAACUGGCAGUCUUGAGUGCAGUAGAGGUGGGCGGAAUUCGUGGUGGAGCGGUGAAAUGCUUAGAUAUCACGAAGAACUCCGAUUGCGAAGGCAGUUCACUGUACUGCAACUGACGCUGAGGCUCGAAAGUGUGGGUAUCAAACAGGAUUAGAUACCCGUGUAGUC